rnacentral:lncRNA from 1 species
AGCUUGAGGCUACCUACCCUGCAUGCCUCCUUGUUUACAACUUCCAGUACAAACGUAUAUCAUGUUUGUUUUCAGACAAAACAUCAGCUUUCCUGAUUUCUGGAAUUAACCUAUAUUCAUAUUAGCAGCAGCCUUUUACACAGUUUUUGCAUACACGGGCUUUCAGCAACAUGAGCACGCAGAGCUGUGCUCCGACACAGCCAAGAGUUGUGCUCCUUGGCAUUAGGCGUGUGGUGCUAACGAGAUGUCACAAGCAGCUGCCUGGCACUUGGCAAGCAUCUGCUGCUCAGGUAAGCACUCUAAAAGCCAUUUACAAAUAUAAGACGUAACAUCACUGCACAUAGCUCUGGGAAUGUAAAGUGGGCUUAUAUACGAAAGGCUGGAUUUUGAAAUUCAGUGUUUUGUUUACAGGUAGCAGGUCUGUUGUCAUCCUUGGCAUGUGAGAGCCUGAACUCCCAGCAUCUCCAAGAGUGCAGGUGAGUGUCCUGACUGCCUGAGCCCUCCUCCCAUGCUACUUGUCUCUCAUCCAGUAAUUUUGGUAUUCUUUUUUUGGUACAGACACAAUAAACCCAGUGGAGAGAGCCUCUGCUUGGGAUAGCUCACCUUGUUCAGCGAGCAAAUUGGGUGAUAAGGGAUUGCAUGUUCCAACAAAUGAACAUGAAGUGCUGACUCCUUGAAUUCAUCACAUCUUCCGUGAAGAACAACAUUCUCCUCUCAUGCAGUGCUUACAGUAAUGCUCAGACUCCUGAGGGCACCUGGGGACCACUGGCAUUGGACACUGUUGGCAGAGGGAGCAGCACUGCGAUCUCCUACUUACUGCUUCAGCUGAGGUUGGGGAGACUGAGUUAGAGGCCACUUCCAUAUGAUCUCAUCUCCACAGCAAACUUGGUGAGAGCUCAGUUCUUCUGCUCCCCAAAAACCCAGUCCUUAGCAGUCAACUUGGAGAAAAAGCUGCCCUUGCAGCCCAGAUCCCUGGCCACUUCUUGGACUAUUACGGCUGUCAGCUGGGGGUCCAGCUCUGCUCCUUGCUCAUCUCUCUCAAGAGGACUGCUGAAGUCUCCUCUUCACUCAAACGCGAUCGCUAGUAAGAACAUGCAUGCUUUCUCUUUCUGUCUUUUAAAUGUGAGCUCGUCUCCUGCUCAGGCUUAUUUAUACACGCUGGCACAUCAGAAAAGUGACUGGCUACAUUAAGUACUGUGGUUUCGUUUUAGUGGUUUGUGCAGUGUCCAAAAAACAUGAAUAAAGGACAUUAAAAAUACA